CUUGAACGCUGGCGGCAUGCCUUACACAUGCAAGUCGAACGGUAACGGGCCUUCGGGUGCCGCCGAGUGGCGGGCGGGGGUGUAAUACAUCGUAACGUGCCCGCUCGUGGGGGUUCAAGCGGCGAAAGCUUUGCUAAUACCGCAUACGACCUACGAAUGAGAGAAGGGGACCGCAAGGCCUUGCGCGGGCGUCCCCGCCGAUGGCAGAUUAGGCAGGUGGUGGGGUAAAAGCAUACCAAGACGACGAUCUGGAGCUGGUCUUAGAGGAGGAUCAGCCACACUUGGACUGAGACACGGGCCAGAGUCCUACGGGAGGCAGUAGGCGGGAACUUUGGACCAUGGGGGCAAGCCUGAUCCAGCCAUGCCGCGUGGAGUAUGAAGGUGCUCGGGUCGUGAGCUGCGUUUGUCCGGAACUAAACUAAUCCUAGUAACACGGAGGGUUCAGGAUGGUACCGUAAGAAUAAGCACCGGCUAAAUACGUG
rnacentral:rRNA from 1 species